GAUGGGUUUGGGGAAGUCUUAGAGCAAAGUAAUGUAAACUGGGGUUUCAAAGAGGAUUUUAAUAUUUAAAGAGGAGAAAAUUUCAGUCCAGGAAGGGAGACUGAUGCCCGACAGAGGCAUACCUCCUCACCUCAAACCUGCAUCCCCAAUUUCCUAAACUGUAAGCUUCUGGAGAACAAAGGCCAAUGCUUCAUGCAGAGAGUAAUUGGUCAUUGGCCUUCUGAGAUCCUAUUCUGAACGCCAUGGUGUGCUAUUGAGAUGACUGAUGGGGCAAAUAAGAGGAGUCAAGAAAGCGGCCAUGGGAGGCUGUUGCCACAGCGGAGGUGGGUGCCAGAGGUGACGACA